rnacentral:rRNA from 1 species
ACGGAGGGUGCGAGCGUUAUCCGGAUUUAUUGGGUUUAAAGGGUGCGUAGGCGGUUUGUUAAGUCAGCGGUGAAAGUUUUCAGCUUAACCGGAAAAAUGCCGGUGAUACUGGGAGGCUAGAAUAUGGUAGCGGUGGGAGGAAUGUGUGGGGUAGCAGUGAAAUACUGUAAUACUUGGGGGAAUACCUAUGGCGAAGGCGUCUCACCAGGCCGGUAUCGACAGUGAGGCACGAAAGUUGGGGGAGCAAACAG